rnacentral:lncRNA from 1 species
GAUUGUGUGUGGUUCCUGUGCUGAAGAAGGUCACAUUAAACAGGCUGGGAGACACCUGCACAGCAGCCACUUGCUGAUUAUAGUGACAUGACAUGGCCUGCUCACUGAGGAUGACCACAGAGCUGAUGCUGUUCACUGCCAGGAGGUUUUUUCGGGAGCCCCACUUUAUCUGAGUGAUAUUUCCUUCAAGUUCUGUAGAUGCCUGGAGUUUCCACUUCUCCUUGCCCUCCAAAGCUCCUGUGCUCUGACUGGAUACUGACACGCUCCUCCACAUUGCCACUCUCCCUUUGUUAGUACCAGCUGCUAGGAGACCUUUAGCACUGCAGUAAGAAACACAGUUCAUACACUCCCCAGCCUCAAAGCCAAAUUGAACAUCUGGGGAGAGCACAUAGUUCUCACCUCGGUCCAAAUCCCAGAACCUAAAGGUACACAAAACAAGAGUUAACAACGCUUCUCCUUCCAGCUAUCUUGCUAAACUGUCAGGAGGACUUGUUCAUGGCACUAAUCUGCUAUUUCCUUCAUCACAGAAUGAC